ensembl:snRNA U1 U1 spliceosomal RNA
AUGCUUACCCGGCAGGGGAAAUACCGUGAUCACAUUUUCCCAGGGCGAGGCUUUUCCAUUGCACUCUGGAUGUGCUGACCCCUGCGAUUUCCCCAAAUGUGGGAAACUCGACUGCAUAAUUUGUGGUAGUGGGGGACUGCAUUCGCGCUUUCCCCUG